UACGUAGGGACCGAGCGUUGUCCGGAAUCAUUGGGCGUAAAGAGCGUGUAGGCGGCUAUUUAAGUCCUGCGUGAAAUCCUGCGGCUCAACCGCAGACGGUCGUGGGAAACUGGAUGGCUAGAGUGCGGGAGAGGAGAGUGGAAUUCCCGGUGUAGCGGUGAAAUGCGCAGAUAUCGGGAAGAACACCCGUGGCGAAGGCGGCUCUCUGGACGGUGACUGACGCUGAGACGACGAAAGCGGUGGGGAGCAAACAGGG
rnacentral:rRNA from 1 species